AUCGAGACAAUGAAGUAAUGGAUGGUCACAAUGAUCUGUCAAAGGAUAAAACGGAAACUCUUUUGAAAGUUUAUUUUCUUUACAGUGAUGACAUUUCAUGACGACGACUUGACGUCUUGCUAUUAAAGAGCUUGUUCAGAGAAUAUGCAAUUCAGAUACAGCAAGAUAAUUCAAGCAAAUUUUGCCACAAUUGCAUCUUUAAACUUGCCCCAACACAGCUUAUAUUAAUAAACGUCAACACUUAACUAAAAUAAUCGUAUGUUCCAGGAAGACAGGUGGUUUCCAAGUAUUUCAACGGAAGUGGCACCCCACAGAACAAACAGUCAGUACGGUUUCACUUUUGUGUGUUGAGAAAAAACUCAAAGUGAAUCCGGCGAUGACCGUCAUGUUCUAUUAAUUGAAGAUUUGCAUUGUCGUUAUUGAGAAUCUGAACAACAAUUUUUAAGUAAUAUAUUAUAGGCAGCCGAUAUAUAUUGCAAAAUGUAACUUGAUAACGAGACUCAAAGUUAUUCUAUUCUG